UGCGCCAUCAAAUAAUGUGUCCU
rnacentral:snRNA from 1 species